GGGAGCAGAGGCUGCGCAGGCUGCGCGGCGGAGAGUAGAGAGCUAGACGGUGAGAAGCGCUGGGCCCGACUAGAACUGUCUUCGCUUUUCCCUCUGCGGCUGCUCUGGCUGGUUACUUUGAGCCUUCCUCCUCAGCGCCGCAGGAGAAACUCAACAGCAAAAAUGACUGUGUCCUGAGUUCAGCCCCCACUGCUCUGGGAGCUUCCCCCUGGUUUCUGCACCUGAAGAAUGUCUUCCCAGCCGAAGGUUCUUAGGAGCGGGGAGCGACAAAGAAAAACAAAGAAAAGCAGACCUGAAAAUUGGGACGUGGGAGAAAUGUAAGACAUGUGCUUAAUUUGAGGCACAGACCAAAAGAAGCUGAGUCUGAGGGCCCUCUAAAAGUGUCCUCGUGCUUUGGCAGCUUACAUUCUUGGCGGCAGUAGUGUUAUGAAGAGGACCUUCGGAGCCAGAGACGAGUGCUCUAAACCAGUAUCAUGGCUCCAGUUCCUGACAAGGAUUCACAUGGGGUUGCCAUUCUGACUGUGCUGGUGACGCUGGUUCCAGGACCCUCAGGAACCCCUCCCCCAGUCUGGUCUGCCCUUGAACUCUGUACUGGCCCCGGGGUAUCCCAGGAUUGUCA
rnacentral:antisense_RNA from 1 species